GUCCGCAUAUCUCAGUCGUUAGAGUGUUGGACUUGUGCCCAGGCGACCCGGGUUCAAUCCCCGAGUGCCGAUU
rnacentral:tRNA from 1 species